UGUUCAAUGCGGGAAUCGAACCCGGGUCGUAGUGGUCGAAAACCAAACGGUUUAACCAGCCUUCCAACUAACCC
rnacentral:tRNA from 1 species